CAGCAGCCGCGGUAAUACGAAGGGGGCUAGCGUUGCUCGGAAUGACUGGGCGUAAAGGGCGCGUAGGCGGCGAUCAAAGUCAGGCGUGAAAUUCCUGGGCUCAACCUGGGGGCUGCGUUUGAUACUUGAUUGCUAGAGUGGGGAAGAGGGUCGUGGAAUUCCCAGUGUAGAGGUGAAAUUCGUAGAUAUUGGGAAGAACACCGGUGGCGAAGGCGGCGACCUGGUCCUUGACUGACGCUGAGGCGCGAAAGCGUGGGGAGCAAACAGGAUUAGAUACCCCAGUAGUCCCUGUCUCUUAUAA
rnacentral:rRNA from 1 species